GAUCCCAUAGCUCAGCCCGGUUCAGAGCACCGCUCUUAUAAGGCGGGGGUCCGGAGUUCAAAUCUCCGUGGGAUCA
rnacentral:tRNA from 1 species